UGUCCUAAGGAAGUUUUGAUGCUUGUGAAGAUCGAAAACACUUGAUCUGGUCUUAACAGCACAUACCUGAACGAUAGUAAAUGUAGUAUUUAAAAUUGAAUCUGCUUUCUGUAUGCCCAUUAUGUUCUACCUCUGUCAAUCAAUUACAUAGCCGCUGAUAUUUUUGUAUGUUACGCUGAUGCAGGGUUGUUUGAUGCGGUUACAUUAGAAUGAUAUCACUCCUCAACUCGAUGAGGCUCUGCAGAGGGAGUUCAAGCUGCAUUUCAUGAAACUCAGAGAUAGUCCCCAAACACCACGGGAUGGAGAUACAGGCAGGAAUGAGCUAUGUCAUUAUGGAAAGGCAUUCCGAAGUUCCUUGCUAUUGGCUUUUAUCAUGUGCACCGUGUUGUUAAUACUCUUCAAAUGAUUCUUGAUAUAAAGCGACCUCUUCUCAUGUGGUGUUUUAGUCCUUUGCAAGCUUUGGCAUGGUGCCAAUCUUCAGCAAUAGCCAAAUCACAACUCGCUUGCAUGAAGACCGCAUGUGCAGGUGGUUCUAUAUGUGUAAGUUAAGCAUAAGUCAUAUUUCCUCAACAGAGGUAAAUAAGCAGCGAACAAUCAUUUUUCUUCUGA